GACGAACGCUGGCGGCGUGCCUAAUACAUGCAAGUAGAACGCUGAAGAGAGGAGCUUGCUCUCCUUGGAUGAGUUGCGAACGGGUGAGUAACGCGUAGGUAACCUGCCUUGUAGCGGGGGAUAACUAUUGGAAACGAUAGCUAAUACCGCAUAACAAUGGAUGACACAUGUCAUUUAUUUGAAAGGGGCAAUUGCUCCACUACAAGAUGGACCUGCGUUGUAUUAGCUAGUAGGUGAGGUAAUGGCUCACCUAGGCGACGAUACAUAGCCGACCUGAGAGGGUGAUCGGCCACACUGGGACUGAGACACGGCCCAGACUCCUACGGGAGGCAGCAGUAGGGAAUCUUCGGCAAUGGGGGCAACCCUGACCGAGCAACGCCGCGUGAGUGAAGAAGGUUUUCGGAUCGUAAAGCUCUGUUGUAAGUCAAGAACGGGUGUGAGAGUGGAAAGUUCACACUGUGACGGUAGCUUACCAGAAAGGGACGGCUAACUACGUG
rnacentral:rRNA from 1 species